AAGACAAGAGAUGCUCUGACUAGCCAAGGAGACUGCCUGGAGCCAACCAGUUUGACCGUAUGAUGAGUUUUCGAACAUCGACUUGCUGAUGCACGGACCAAUCUGAGUUCAGAGUAGCAAGUCAUCCUUGGCUAUCAAAACAGGGCUCUCAUCC
rnacentral:pre_miRNA from 1 species